UUCCAUUUCGAACACCACCUUUCUGGUCAGUCAGUGUUUCUGGUAAUCCAACCCACUUUCAUGAAUGCCACACAGCUUUUAAUCGCAAUCACCGCUGGCUAGUUGCUCUUCCCGUCCCGAGUACUAAGCGAUACUCGUGUUAGCAGAUACUACUAUGUUGUGUGUCUAUUGCAAUUAGAUGAAUGGUUUCAAUGAAGUGGUGCAAUAAUCAAUGUGACGUUGGACUACUCUUCAUUUCGGGAGAAUUGUUGGUAUUCCACUCCAAAUGCUGAUAACGACACACAGUGAAAUGAUAGAAUUCUGCGGGCUCAAAUUCAUAAAA